GCGUGUGUGAAGAAGGCCUUAGGGUUGUAAAGCACUUUCGCCCGCGAAGAUGAUGACGGUAGCGGGAGAAGAAGCCCCGGCUAACUCCGUGCCAGCAGCCGCGGUAAUACGGAGGGGGCUAGCGUUGUUCGGAAUUACUGGGCGUAAAGCGCACGUAGGCGGCUUGAAUAGUUAGGCGUGAAAGGCCUGGGCUUAACCUGGGAACUGCGCUUAAUACUGGCGAGCUUGAGUCCGGAAGGGGGUGGCGGAAUUCCCAGUGUAGAGGUGAAAUUCGU
rnacentral:rRNA from 1 species